rnacentral:rRNA from 1 species
AACGAGCGCUGGCGGCGUGCCUAACACAUGCAAGUCGAACGUGAUUGGAAGCUUGCUUCCAUGAAAGUGGCGCACGGGUGAGUAACGCGUAGAUAAUCUACCUGAUGGAUCGGGAUAACACUUCGAAAGGGGUGCUAAUACCGGAUAAGCCCACGGAGUCCUUGGACACUGCGGGAAAAGGGGGGGACCUUCGGGCCUUCCGUCAUCAGAUGAGUCUGCGUACCAUUAGCUAGUUGGUGGGGUAAAGGCCUACCAAGGCGACGACGGUUAGCUGGUCUGAGAGGAUGAUCAGCCACACUGGAACUGGGACACGGUCCAGACGCCUACGGGAGGCAGCAGUGGGGAAUUUUGCGCAAUGGGGGAAACCCUGACGCAGCAACGCCGCGUGAGUGAUGAAGGCCCUUGGGUCGUAAAGCUCUGACAGAGGGAAAGAAAUGCAGGGGGGCUAAUAUCCCUUUUGCUUGACGGUACCCUCAAAGGAAGCACCGGCUAACUCCGUGCCAGCCGCCGCAGUAAGAC